rnacentral:rRNA from 1 species
AGGGAAUCUUCGGCAAUGGACGGAAGUCUGACCGAGCAACGCCGCGUGAGUGAAGAAGGUUUUCGGAUCGUAAAGCUCUGCUGUAAGAGAAGAACGAGUGUGAGAGUGGAAAGUUCACACUGUGACGGUAUCUUACCAGAAAGGGACGGCUAACUACGUGCCAGCAGCCGCGGUAAUACGUAGGUCCCGAGCGUUGUCCGGAUUUAUUGGGCGUAAAGCGAGCGCAGGCGGUUAGAUAAGUCUGAAGUUAAAGGCUGUGGCUUAACCAUAGUACGCUUUGGAAACUGUUUAACUUGAGUGCAAGAGGGGAGAGUGGAAUUCCAUGUGUAGCGGUGAAAUGCGUAGAUAUAUGGAGGAACACCGGUGGCGAAAGCGGCUCUCUGGCUUGUAACUGACGCUGAGGCUCGAAAGCGUGGGGAGCAAACAGGAUUAGAUACCCUGGUAGUCCACGCCGUAAACGAUGAGUGCUAGGUGUUAGACCCUUUCCGGGGUUUAGUGCCGCAGCUAACGCAUUAAGCACUCCGCCUGGGGAGUACGACCGCAAGGUUG